UACGUAGGGUGCGAGCGUUAAUCGGAAUUACUGGGCGUAAAGCGUGCGCAGGCGGAUAUUUAAGUCAGACGUGAAAUCCCCGGGCUUAACCUGGGAAUGGCGUUUGAAACUGGAUGUCUAGAGUGUGGCAGAGGGGGGUGGAAUUCCGCGUGUAGCAGUGAAAUGCGUAGAUAUGCGGAGGAACACCGAUGGCGAAGGCAGCCCCCUGGGCUAACACUGACGCUCAUGCACGAAAGCGUGGGGAGCAAACAGGAUUAGAUACCCUGGUAGUCCACGCCCUAAACGAUGUCAACUGGCUGUUGGGAGCGCAAGUUCUUAGUAGCGAAGCUAACGCGUGAAGUUGACCGCCUGGGGAGUACGGCCGCAAGGUUGAA
rnacentral:rRNA from 1 species